UCCUCCUACGGGGGGCAGCAGUGAGGAAUAUUGGUCAAUGGUCGGGAGACUGAACCAGCCAAGCCGCGUGAGGGAGGAAGGUACAGAGUAUCGUAAACCUCUUUUGUCAGGGAACAAAGACUGGGACGCGUCCCCGGAUGAGUGUACCUGAAGAAAAAGCAUCGGCUAACUCCGUGCCAGCAGCCGCGGUAAUACGUAGGGGGCAAGCGUUGUUCGGAAUCACUGGGCGUAAAGCGUGCGUAGGCUGUUUCGUAAGUCGUGUGUGAAAGGCGCGGGCUCAACCCGCGGACGGCACAUGAUACUGG
rnacentral:rRNA from 1 species